GUAGGUGGCAAGCGUUGUCCGGAAUUAUUGGGCGUAAAGCGCGCGCAGGUGGGAUAAUCAGUCUGAUGUUAAAGUUCGGGGCUUAACCCCGUGAAGCAUUGGAUACUGUUAUUCUUGAGUGCAGGAGAGGAAAGUGGAAUUCCUAGUGUAGCGGUGAAAUGCGUAGAUAUUAGGAGGAACACCAGUGGCGAAGGCGACUUUCUGGACUGUGUCUGACACUGAGGCGCGAAAGCCAGGGUAGUGAACGGGAUUAGAUACCCCGGUAAUCCUGGCCGUAAACGAUGGGUACUAGGUGUUGGGGGUAUCGACCCCUCCAGUGCCGGAGUUAACGCAAUAAGUACCCCGCCUGGGGAGUACGGCCGCAAGGUUG
rnacentral:rRNA from 1 species